rnacentral:piRNA from 1 species
UUUCUAUCUUCUUUCAGAUGG